UAUAUCCUACGGGGGGCAGCAGUGGGGAAUAUUGCACAAUGGGGGAAACCCUGAUGCAGCGACGCCGCGUGAGCGAAGAAGUAUUUCGGUAUGUAAAGCUCUAUCAGCAGGGAAGAAGAAAGACGGUACCUGAGUAAGAAGCCCCGGCUAACUACGUGCCAGCAGCCGCGGUAAUACGUAGGGGGCAAGCGUUAUCCGGAUUUACUGGGUGUAAAGGGAGCGUAGACGGCAUGGCAAGUCUGAAGUGAAAGCCCCGGGCUCAACCUGGGAACUGCUUUGGAAACUGUUAAAC
rnacentral:rRNA from 1 species